rnacentral:rRNA from 1 species
CUACGGGUCGCUGCAGUGGGGAAUAUUGCACAAUGGGCGCAAGCCUGAUGCAGCAACGCCGCGUGGGGGACGACGGCCUUCGGGUUGUAAACCUCUUUUAGUAGGGAAGAAGCGCAAGUGACGGUACCUACAGAAAAAGCACCGGCUAACUACGUGCCAGCAGCCGCGGUAAUACGUAGGGUGCAAGCGUUGUCCGGAAUUAUUGGGCGUAAAGAGCUCGUAGGCGGUUUGUCGCGUCUGCUGUGAAAAUCCGAGGCUCAACCUCGGACCUGCAGUGGGUACGGGCAAACUAGAGUGCGGUAGGGGAGGUUAGAAUGCCUGGUGUAGCGGUGGAAUGCGCAGAUAUCAGGAGGAACACCAAUGGCGAAGGCAGAUCUCUGGGCCGUAACUGACGCUGAGGAGCGAAAGCGUGGGGAGCGAACAGGAUUAGAUACCCGGGUAGUC